AGGUGAAAUUUGGUGCCCGGGAAUAGGGUGGUUGAGCAUAGGUUUCAAGAUAUUCUUAGGCUGUCAAGGCUUGGGGCUAAAAGAGGAUUAGAUACCCUGUUAUACCGAGCUAAAAUGUUUCGCCCGAGUAGUAAAUAGUUAUGACCUCGAAACUUAAAGAAUUUGGCGGUACUCCAGUCUCGUUAGAGGAAUCUGUUGUGUAAACGAUAAACCACGAAUUAUCUUACUCUCUUUUGUAUGUCAGCCUGUAUACCGCCAUUGGUUAGAUGAUUUUUAUAAAAUUUAUCGUAAUAUUCAAAAAUUACCAUAUUAGGUCAAGGUGCAGCCGAUAGGAGAGAAAUUAUGGAUUACAAUGUUACUAGGAUAAGACGGAUUGAUGGGAGAACGUUCAUCAUGAAGGUGGAUUUAAUAGUAAGGUCCGUUUAAUAAGCGAGCUUGAUAGUAGCUCUGGGGUAUGUA
rnacentral:rRNA from 1 species